rnacentral:rRNA from 1 species
AACGAACGUUAGCGGCGCGCCUAACACAUGCAAGUCGCACGAGAAAGGGCUUCGGCCCCAGUAAAGUGGCGCACGGGUGAGUAACACGUGGGUAACCUUCCCUUGAGUGGGGGAUAACAUUCCGAAAGGAGUGCUAAUACCGCAUAAGACCACGGCUUCGAAAGGAGCUGAGGUCAAAGCAGGCCUCUUCAUGAAAGCUUGCGCUCGAGGAUGGGCCCGCGGCCCAUCAGCUAGUUGGUAGGGUAAUGGCCUACCAAGGCUAAGACGGGUAGCUGGUCUGAGAGGAUGAUCAGCCACACUGGAACUGAGACACGGUCCAGACUCCUACGGGAGGCAGCAGUGGGGAAUCUUGCGCAAUGGACGAAAGUCUGACGCAGCGACGCCGCGUGGGUGAUGAAGGCCUUCGGGUUGUAAAGCCCUGUGGGGAGAGAAGAAUAAGUGGUGGCUAAUACCUGCCAUGAUGACGGUAUCUCCUUAGCAAGCACCGGCUAACUCUGUG